AGCAUUACGAUCACACCGCUUCCUGUACAUUCACCGAAGUUAAGCAACGCUGAGCAUGGUCAGUACUUAUAUGGGUGACCGCUUGUGAACACCAGCUGCUGUAAG
rnacentral:rRNA from 1 species